rnacentral:lncRNA from 1 species
CAUCAAAAACCACUAGAAACCCCUAAAAACAAUUAUAAACCCUUAUAAACCACUAUAAACCCUUAAAAACCACUAAAAACACUUAUAAACCCCUCAAAAACCACUAAAUAUCCCUAAAGGCACUUAUAAACCCAUAAAAAACCACUAUAAACCCUUAAAAACCACUAAUAACCCCUAAAAACAAUUAUAAACCCCUUAAAAACCACUAUAAACCCU